AGGGUCAGUAACAUAAUAAUCCCCUAAAAUAUUUACACACACAACAAGGAGGUACAGUAAAUGCACCCCAUAUACACGCCCCAUAUACACCUCAGCCCAGGCCCUUGCCUGGUCUGUAUUGUGAAUGGGAGGACAUGG